GACGAACGCUGGCGGCGUGCUUAACACAUGCAAGUCGAACGGAAAGGCCCCUUUGGGGGUACUCGAGUGGCGAACGGGUGAGUAACACGUGAGUAACCUGCCCUUGACUUCGGGAUAACUUCAGGAAACUGGGGCUAAUACCGGAUAGGAAUCCUUGCUGCAUGGUGGGGGUUGGAAAGCUUCGGCGGUUUUGGAUGGACUCGCGGCUUAUCAGCUUGUUGGUGGGGUAGUGGCUUACCAAGGCUUUGACGGGUAGCCGGCCUGAGGGGGCGACCGGCCACAUUGGGACUGAGGUACGGCCCAGACUCCUACGGGAGGCAGCAGUGGGGAAUAUUGCACAAUGGGCGGAAGCCUGAUGCAGCAACGCCGCGUGCGGGAUGACGGCCUUCGGGUUGUAAACCGCUUUCAGCAGGGGCGAAGCUUGUGGUGACGGUACCUGCAGAAGAAGCACCGGCUAACUACGUG
rnacentral:rRNA from 1 species